rnacentral:rRNA from 1 species
AGGUAACUACCCUUCGGACGGGCACAACCCCGGGAAACUGGGGCUAAUUCCCGAUAGGUACCCCCUUCUGGAAUGUGGGGAUAUCCAAAGCUCCGGCGCCGAAGGAUGGGCCUGCGGCCGAUUAGGUUGUUGGCGGGGUAACAGCCCACCAAGCCGACGAUCGGUACGGGCAGUGAGAGCUGUAGCCCGGAGAUGGGGACUGAGACAAGGCCCCAGGCCCUACGGGGCGCAGCAGGCGCGAAACCUUCACAAUGCACGAAAGUGUGAUGAGGGUACUCCGAGUGCGCAUACAUUGUAUGUGCUUUUCUGCAGCGUAAAUAGUUGCAGGAAUAAGGGCUGGGCAAGACCGGUGCCAGCCGCCGCGGUAACACCGGCAGCCCUAGUGGUGGCCGCUUUUAUUGGGCCUAAAGCGUCCGUAGCCGGACAGGCAAGUCUUUGGGUAAAUCCUACGUCUUAAGCGUGGGAAUUCUAAGAUACUACCUGUCUUGAGGCCGGGAGAGGCUGGAGGUACUCCUGGGGUAGGGGUAAAAUCCUAUAAUCCUGGGGGGACCACCGAUGGCGAAGGCAUCCAGCUGGAACGGGCCUGACGGUGAGGGACGAAACCCAGGGGAGCGAGCCGGAUUAGAUACCCGGGUAGUCCUGGGCGUAAAUGAUGUGGGCUUGGUGUGAGCGCAUCGACGAGGUGCGCUUGUGCCGUAGGGAAGCCGUUAAGCCCACCGCCUGGGGAGUACGGUCGCAAGGCUGAAACUUAA